rnacentral:rRNA from 1 species
GCGACCCCGAAAGAUGGUGAACUAUGCCUGAAUAGGGCGAAGCCAGGGGAAACCCUGGUGGAAGCCCGCAGCGAUUCUGACGUGCAAAUCGAUCGUCAAAUUUGGGUAUAGGGGCGAAAGACUAAUCGAACCGUCUAGUAGCUGGUUCCCUCCGAAGUUUCCCUCAGGAUAGCUGGAGCCCGGUGCAGUUUUAUCAGGUAAAGCGAAUGAUUAGAGGUCUCGGGGUCGAAACGACCUCGACCUAUUCUCAAACUUUAAAUGGGUAAGAGGUCCGGCUUGCUCGAUUGAAGUCGGGCGCGGAAUGCCGGGGCUCCUAGUGGGCCAUUUUUGGUAAGCAGAACUGGCGAUGUGGGAUGAACCGAAAGCCGGGUUAAGGUGCCCGAAUCGACGCUCAGCAGAUACCAGG